CGGAAGGCUGAUGGUGGCAUUACCUGCGUGCAAAUCACCUCAAGGUAGAAUCGAAAGCUCUUGGGAAUGACAGCGGUGGAAAAGAAUAGGGGCCUGUGGAAUCGAGUGGUGGGAGAGGAAAACAGAGCAGUGAUGACUCAUCCUGCACUACACAGAUUUUUUGUCCAAUCAGAUGCUCUCUCUUGAAGAAUGGCCCGCCCCCUUAGCCACAUACAACCGACUAGAAAUGGAGCAGUGAUGACUCAUCCAGCACUACAGAUUUUUGUCCAAUCAGAUGCUCUCUUGAAGGAGAACAUCCCGCCCCCUUAUGCUGCACACAACCGACUAUCUUUCAACAGGAACUGUCAUCUGGGCUUUACUUUAAGUUCACUGUAGGUGGAGGAAACCAGCUGUGAUUCAGGCCUGCGCUCCCAGCGAACCUCUCCUAUACAUUCAGUGCUGAGAAAAGGUCAGAUUUACUUUU
rnacentral:lncRNA from 1 species